rnacentral:miRNA from 1 species
CUGGGCCAUGGGACCUACAGACUCCUGGGUGUGGCUUAGGUGCUCAGUGUCUGCUGUCUUCACAG